rnacentral:rRNA from 1 species
AUGUUGGAUCACGGAGCUCCGGAGUUACCUAACGCAAGGGACCCUGCCGGAGAAGGAGGAGGAAGCGGAGCGAGUCCAUUUGCAGUCUGGGGGCUGGAUAUCUUGGGCCCGUUUCCUCGGGCGCCUGGGGGCUACCGCUACCUCUACGUUGCCGUGGACAAGUUCACCAAGUGGGCUGAAGUAGAGGCUGUCCGCACCAUUCCCGCGGGUUCCGCGGUCAAGUUCAUCAAGGGCAUCGUGAGCCGGUUCGGGGUGCCGAAUCGCAUCAUCACGGACAACGGUUCACAGUUUACAAGUAACCUCUUCAAAACAUAUUGUGCUAAUCUUGGAACGCAGAUAUGA